CCGGUCCGGUCCGCCAGGGGCUUUCCCUGAACACGCGGCGGACCGGCUUUGAGAACCACUGAUAUAGAUCAUCUGUCAAGGGUGAGGCUACUUUCUCAGGUAUCUGAAAAUAUAAUAUAUCAAGGGAUUCUGAUGCAUACUGGUAACCAGGGAGUGAAGCAAGUAGAAUCUGGGAUAGUUUUAGAGCCUUGAAUAUCUCUUUAGCCUUAAUUUUUCACAUCUGUUUGUAUCCUCUGGAUCUCAGGAGGAGGCGAUACACUUCAAAUUAAUGUCUUGUGGAUUUGUCACAAGCCCCAGAUAAGAACCAGCACAACCCAGUGACUCAAGAGUCCCAAUCGGUCCCUGGUUCUCCCCUGAUCUAAGGGAAAAGUCACCUGUGCGAUCCCUUUUCUUAGUGGAGAUCACUACCUGCCCCCCUACCUGUACACCUGUGCCAGACCGUGUCUUUCUACCUGUACGUCUGUUCCAGACCGUGUCUUUCUACCUAUACACCUACGACCUACAGCAUGGGAGUGAGGGAGAAGAGGGAAUUGUUAACAAUGGCACAAAAAAUAUAAAAGGAGGAGGAGAUGAGGCUGUGACAGCAACUGAACAGAACAUUUUUUUUUAUUAUUAUGACCGUAUUUGUCAUUUGAAAAAUUUCAGCUAGUUCUAAUACCCUUGGCCAUGGCAAAGCAGCCCUUCACCUCCCCAAGGAAUCUAAAUAUGGUUUUAUGUGAACUUCCUAAGUUUUUUCACUGUUCUGUUCUUCAUACACCAUUUUGUACCUUUACCCUGCCCCACUCAGACACGCCCCACAAGUUCAGAAUUCAGCACUGCGGCAUAGACUUGAAGGAACACCCCCAACAUGAUUCCAGUGUGUAACACUAGUGAGCAAUGCACUUUGCUGCAGAGUGCUGAGUUAACAAGGGCACUUAAACUUCCUGAGAAGUCUUUUAAAUCAAAGGAGCCUUUUGUGAAGCGUUGGAAUGACGAGAAGAUCUGCGCUGUGCUCUGUGAAUCCGGAGGGCUUUUGUUUGUGUGUGUGUAUUUUACAAAAGAGCCCGUUGUUUGUUCCUACAGUAUACAGAGGAAACAAACAAUAUUGCAAAUUGAAAUGAUCUGGAGAGCAUAUUUUAAAAAUUUAAAAUAAUCCUUCUAAUUAAUAUAGUUUUCAGUCCUGACCUGUAAUUCAUUUAAAAGUAAAUGUCAUUUGGUUAAGGAUGCGUUAAGCUUACAGCUCACUACAGUCUUUAUUUAAACAUCACUUUUUUUUCCUAUGGCCUAUCUUAUGUUACACAUUUAACUAUUGAUCAGUUGUUGAAAAUAAUAAUCCGGGGAAAAAAGUAGCCUUUAACAAACUAGUCUGAGGAGUCCUUGUUCUAUGAAAAGCAUAGAUUUUCAGCAGCUAUAGACGGGAACAGUGACAUCAGCACUAUUAAAAAAAGAAAUCACGAAAGCAGCACUGCAGAUCUGCUUGAACUUGUCAGGUGAUUUUCAACUAUAUUUCCACCCCUAAAAUUGAUUUACAUAUUAAAAAAAAACAUCCCCACAUUGCAGCAGCAUUCAUGUUUAGAAAUGCUAAAAUAACAUGCGACAGUUGCCUGUUGCCAAAACACCUACCUUGGCUUAGUUAGUAUUUUCUGUUCAUAAUGUUGCAAUAGUUAUAGUGCCGGGUUUUGAUUACACUCCAGUUAAAUCUAAAAUGUAACACUUUGCCCAGAAAGAGCUUCUAAUAUAUUUUAAUAAAAUAAUACACAUGGUGCCAGAGGUUUCCACCAUUGUUGCUUAUAUGCCUGUAAAAUACUGUGUAUGCACAAGAAUACCCAAACUUUUUAGAUUUUAAUUCAGAGUGCCUUUCUAGAUUUUUGUCUUACAAACCCAGUAUGGAGUAGAGUGGAGAUAGUACCCAGAUGAGAACAGAAUCACUGAUCAAAAGGACAUUUUCGGCCACUAUGAACUAAGGCAGUGGUUUUCAAACUGCAAGUCGUGACCCAGUACUGUGUCAUGGAAUGCAAGGCGCUGGGUCACGGUGGCUCUGGUCAGCACCGCUGUCUGGGCCGUUAAAAGUCCCGUUGAUGGUGCUGCCUGGCUAAGGCAGACUAGUUCCUACCUGUUUUGAUAUCGCACUGAACCUGGGAAGUAGGUAGCAGCAGGUCCGGCUCCUAGGUGGGGGGACCACGGGGCUCUGUGUGCUGCCCCCAACCCUGAGCACUGGCUCCACACUCCCAUUAGCUGGUUCCUGGCCAAUAGGAGCGGGGGCGAGGGGGCGGUGCCUGCAGGCAAGAACUGCUCGGAGCCGCUUGUGCACCUCCGCUUAGGAGCCGGAUCAGCUGCUGGCUGCUUCCGAGGCACAGCGCAGUCCGCAGUGCCAGGACAGACAGGAAGCCUGCCUAAGCACUCCCGCUGUGCCGCUGACCGGAAGCCACCUGAGGUAAGCCUGUGCCCCAUCCCCUGCCCCAGCCCUGAGCCCCCCUGAACAUGGAGCCCCUUCUUGCACCCCAAACCCCCCAUCCCUGGCUCUACCCCAGAGCCUGCACCCCCAGCCCAGAGCCCUGACCCCAUCCUGCACUCCAACUCCCUGCCCCAGCCCUGGGCCCCCCUGCACUCCAAUCCCCUCAUCCCUGGCCCCACUCCACAGUCCUCACUGCCGCACCCAAACCCUCUGCUGCAGCCCUGAGCCCCUCCACAACCCAAACCCCUCAUCCCCAGCUCUGUUGGGUCGCGGGCAUCAACAAUUGGCUUCAACUGGGUCACCAGAAAAAAAGUUUGAAAACCACUGAACUAAGGCCCAUAUUCAGUAAGACACUUAAACACAUGCCUAACAUAAAGUGUACAUGCUUAAGUUACUUGCAUAAUCGGAGUUUAAAUCUAUCUUAAGUACUUCUCUCCCCCCCCCAAUCCUUGCAAUUCCCCAGUAUCUGAGAACCUCAGUCUUUUAAUGCAUCUAUACCUGAGGCACAGCUUUGGAAUCAUUGAAAGAAACAGAUAGGAGUGGAAGAGCUUCAUCACUGCCCUAAAUACCAAAGGCGUAAUAAAAACGUGAUGAUGAUGAUGACGAUCUCUUGAGUAAAGCAUUUAGUCAUAUAUUUCCUGAAUCUUUCCUUACUGUGGCAUUGUGGUACAUCUUUAAGCUGUUUAAAACAACUAGCUGACUCUUCUGGCUUUGCUAUGUUGAAUUGACAGACUGGAAGAGCAGAAAAACUUUCAGAUUCCUCAGGUUGGAAAACAAAUGAUUCUAUCGCAAAAUUAGUGUCUAGUUAUAUGGAGAAGAAAUUUAAUCAAGAUGUGCUAAUAACCCACACAUUACCAUUUGACAAAAUCAAUGAAGGAUUUGAAUUGUUACGUUCAGCAAAGAGGAUUUAUCUAUUAUUGAAAGUUCAGGUGAAGGCAAAUGCAUGACAAAGGCUACCCAAAAGGGACAAUGACAAGAACACAAAAGAAAAGGAGAAGAUGGAGUGCAAAGAGCUGUAGUAGAAGAUAUGUUAUUUCAUGCUUCUGAACAAUUUUCUUUGAUGAAGUUGGCAGCCAGUUCAUUCAUAAGAAUGCUCAUACUGGAUCAGACCCCUAGUUCUUGGGUUAUGUGAAGCGGUAAAUAACACUGUUCUAUUCGCUUUCUCCACACCAUACAUGAUUUUAUACCCCUCUAUCAUAUCCCUGCUUAGCUGUCUCUUACCUGAUUAGUCUUUUAAAUCUCUCCUUGUAUGGAAACCUGUCCAUACCUCUAACUGUUUUCAUUGCCCUUUUCUGCACCUUUUCCAAGUCUAAUGUAUCUUUUUUGAGAUGGGGUGUUCAGUUCUGCAUGGAAGAAUCAAGAUUUGGGUGUACCAUGGAUUCAUUCAUUGCAUUGUAUUGCUAACAGAGUUUGACAAGAAGCAAGAUAGGAUUGUUGAAAAACAAAUCAGAUGUUAGCUGGUCUUUAUCUGCAUGUCAGCAUUUGUAACUAAUUAUUUUGUUUUAUAUUUCAGUAUUGGCAGCAUCCUUCUCUUUUAAGGUUCAGCGCAACAGGAGAGAUGUGGGUCUUAACAUCUCAACGUUUCAUAUCCAGUAUCUACUCUUCAGUGAUCUCUUUUUUUAUUAUGGUAACAUGAAGAGAGCUGUGAAAGGCUUUGGGUGAUUCUGACAUCGAGAGCUGUGAAAAAUGGGCCUGAUGAAAGCUGAAAAGAUCUGUAGAGUAAUAAGGAAGCAUCUUGGAGGGUAAAUAAUGUUUUAAAAUGUAACCUGUAGCCUCAAAGCCUAUGAAAUGGUGAGAGAGGUGGAUCUGUGUCUUGUCAUGUGACCUUAAAUGAGCUGGAUCCCCUUCACUCCACUCCUACCUCUUUUUACCUCCAGCUAUCCAAAUCAUGUAUGCAGAUGAACAUUACAGUAGCCAGAAUCUCCAACACUUCGGAACUGUGAAACACCUUGAAUUUGUAAUUGAUCGCACCUACAUGGAUAUGACUAGAGAGAUGGCAUCUUUUCUUUUGCUCUCUGGUCUUAUAGCCAGAGAUUAUAGUCUAUGUUGAUACCACAUGCUAAGGUAAAACCUGACACUAUCCUGAAGCUGAACUGUGGUGGGUGCACUGGAGGUGUUAGCUACAAACCCAGAACCAGCCUCAAACCUAGCAUCCCUGCCAGCCAUCCCUCUACGCUACCCAGCCACCUCUCACCUACCCUACAGUACCUGAAAACUUCCCAUUGUUUCUUCUGGUGACCCAAAUCCCAUGAGCUUUUCUAUCACCAAAGGAUUGCAGAAUAGAGUGAGUCGCAGGAUGAUUUUCUGUGUAUUUUGCUGGUCACACAGCAGAAACGAUGCAGAACUGCUGAUCUGGUUGGUAAGGCAUAGGGAGGCUGAAGAGGUUUUUCAAACCAACAUGUUUGUUAAUUGUAACAUUGUUCUUACUUGUCUUCCUCCAAUUUUUAUGUAAAUAAAAAGAUUUUUGCCUCAGGCUCCAUCUUGGGAAUAUCAGAAAAUGCUCACAAGAGCUCUUGGCCUGUUUCAUAGCAAAACUGUGUUCGUGAUCUGUCAAUAAAUCUGUGCUAGUGUGGGGAUUAGAUUCAGACAGGUCAUUAUGUAUUACAGCAAGGCAUAUGAGUGCCAAAAAACCCUGGGUCUAUUUCCAUUAGGGAUGCAGAAACAAACUACUGUAGGGGUCUGUCAGAUGCUUGGGCUAUUGAUGCAGACUACCAGGCACCAUGAGUCAUGUCUCUAGCUGGAAGAAGAGAGCAUGCCAGGAGGAAGGGAGGGUGAGUGAAAAUCUUGGGCUGUAGGGGUGGGAGCGAGGGAACCAAGCAGUGGAAAAGGAAAGAGUUGGUGGUUCUGAGAUGUUGAAAAAUGUUGUAAUGCAAAAUAAAAUUGAUAGUAUGGGAGACAUUUUUAUUCAGAAAAGAUGCUUAAAAGGAGCAUGAGUGAGCUUGAUUUAACUCAGCUCUGUGUUCUUGACCAUUGUGUCAAAAUUUACAUGGAUGUUUAUUUUGCUAUUUGUUUGUUUUUUUUAAAAAAAAAAAAGACAGCAUGUAUGUUGAUGUUAGGAUAAGAGUUACCGUUUUAUUAAAGAACUGUACAGCC